GCUCUCUGGAGAAUCCCGCCUAACGGGUGCCGAAGGUGAAAGGAAACGAAGUUUCUGAAUCUCUCAGGCAAAAGGACAGUGAAUG
rnacentral:ncRNA from 1 species